GAGACUAAACAAGGGUAAACUUUUAACAGUACAGAAUACGCCAUCAUUUCAUUGCCUUGAUUCUAACUGUUUGUGUCCUAAGAUGCAAAAGAGGUCAGUGGCUUUUAACUGUUUACAAUAGGAUGUGAUUGUAAAUGUACAGUUUGGUUGUGUUUGAAUUAUGAAAUCUUCAAAUAAUAAACCAUGACUUUUUGGCUGCUCAACAUUAAUUGUCUCUUUUUUGUGGAUUUAUUUGUAGGCUCUUUUAUAAUGAAAGUUACAAAGUUGCUGCAUGUGAGAGUUCUUCUCAUAGAGCGGCAGAUUAAAAAUCUAAGCAAAUAUUUGAACAUUUUACCUGAACUUGUCCACAAUCACCCUGAGAUAAUGUGAGAACAGUGGGAACUGUAGCUUGCUCCUCCUCCCCUGAGCAUCUGUGGGAGCUUGUUGUUGCCCAAAGCUCUUCUCUGGCUUCACCUUCCCCACCAUCUGUGCCCAUCUCAAGCCUCAGCGGGACCAUUGGGACACGAAGCUGACUGCCGUGACAGCGUCCUAGUGUUAACCUCUCAUACCUCACACAGUGGGGAUGCCACCACCUGGACUGGCCUCUCUUCCCUGUGCCCUUCGCCCCUCCUCACUGAAGGAGCUCUGGGCACAGAACCUGUAUGACUUCAAAUCACGCUCCACUUGCCAGGUGUAAGCUAAUGUUGGACACCGUAACCUAAGCAAAUGUUUAAUGCAUUCGGUGUGUGUUGAUGUCCAUACUGGUUUUUCCAAAAACCAAAGGUAGCUUUGAAAAACCAUGUGUGGAGAUGUUUGGACCGUUAAGCUGAGUGACCGUUUGGGGCUUUGAGUAGUAUAUAUCUGACUUCAUGACUUCGUUAAUUGUAUUGUUAAAAGUGUUUGGGAGUUUUUUUGCGCUUGUUAUGUGGAAAUAAAGUGUUUGAUUU
rnacentral:lncRNA from 1 species